rnacentral:rRNA from 1 species
CUGCCUGGCUCCCCGGGAUAACAGCUCGAAAGGGCUGCUAAUACCGGGUAAGCUCACGGAGUCGCAUGGCUCCGGGAGAAAAGGUCCUGCAAGGGACUGGGGUGAGAGGGGUCCGCGGUCCAUUAGCUAGUUGGAGGGGUAACGGCCCACCAAGGCGACGAUGGAUAGCCGGCCUGAGAGGGCGAUCGGCCACACUGGGACUGAGACACGGCCCAGACUCCUACGGGAGGCAGCAGUCGGGAAUUUUGGGCAAUGGCCGAAAGGGCUGACCCAGCAACACCGCGUGAGUGAAGAAGGCCUUCGGGUUGUAAAGCUCUGUUACCCGUGAAGAACGGUGUGGAGAGGAAAUGCUCCAUACUUGACGGUAGCGGGGGAGGAAGCUCCGGCUAACUACGUGCCAGCAGCCGCGGUAAUACGUAGGGAGCGAGCGUUGUCCGGAUUUAUUGGGCGUAAAGGGCGUGUAGGCGGCUUGUUAAGUCUGGAGUGAAAAUCCGGGGCUCAACCCCGGAACUGCUUCGGAUACUGAUGAGCUUGAGUACUCUAGAGGGCAGUGGAAUUCCCGGUGUAGCAGUGAAAUGCGUAGAGAUCGGGAGGAACACCAGUGGCGAAGGCGACUGCCUGGGGAGAAACUGACGCUGAGGCGCGAAAGCUGGGGGAGCAAACGGGAUUAGAUACCCCGGUAGUCCCAGCCGUAAACGAUGAGUGCUAGGUGUAGCGGGUAUCGACCCCCGCUGUGCCGCAGUUAACGCAAUAAGCACUCCGCCUGGGGAGUACGGCCGCAAGGUUGAAACUCAAAGGAAUUGACGGGGGCCCGCACAAGCAGCGGAGCAUGUGGUUUAAUUCGAAGCAACGCGUAGAACCUUACCAGGGCUUGACAUGUAGCGAAUCCUCUAGNAGAUAGGGGAGUGCUCUUUCGGGAGAGCGCUAACACAGGUGGGGCAUGGUUGUCGUCAGCUCGUGUCGUGAGAUGUUUGGGGUAAGUCCCGCAACGAGCGCAACCCCUAUCGUAUGUUGCCAGCAGGUAAAGCUGGGCACUCAUGCGAGACUGCCGGUGACAACCNNGAAGAGGGGGGGGGGAUGACGUCAAAUCAUCAGGCCCGUUAUGUCUUGUGCGACACAUGUGCUACAAUGGGUGCCACAAAGUGAAGGGAGACCGAGAGGUGGAGGAAACCGCCAAAGGAGUUCGUAGUUCAGAUGGCAGGCCGCAACUCGCCUGCGUGAAGCGGGAGUUGAUAGUAAUCGCGGAUCAGCACGCCGCAGUGAAUACGUUCCUGGGCGUUGUACACACCGCUCGUCACACCAACCCACCUGGUAACACCCGAAGUGGGUGAGCUAACCCCCGGCAGCUAUGCAGCCCGCGGCGACAGUGGGUCUGUGAGGACCCACGAAAGCCAG